AGCGAACGCUGGCGGCAGGCUUAACACAUGCAAGUCGAGCGCCCCGCAAGGGGAGCGGCAGACGGGAGAGUAACACGUGGGAACGUACCUUUCAGUUCGGAACAACCAAGGGAAACUUUGGCUAAUACCGGAUACGCCCGUAAGGGGAAAGAUUCAUCGCUGAAAGAUCGGCCCGCGUCUGAUUAGCUAGUUGGUGGGGUAAUGGCCCACCAAGGCGACGAUCAGUAGCUGGUCUGAGAGGAUGAUCAGCCUCACUGGGACUGAGACACGGCCCAGACUCCUACGGGAGGCAGCAGUGGGGAAUAUUGGACAAUGGGCGCAAGCCUGAUCCAGCCAUGCCGCGUGGAUGAUGAAGGCCUUAGGGUUGUAAAGUCCUUUUAACGGGGAAGAUAAUGACGGUACCCGUAGAAUAAGCCCCGGCUAACUUCGUGCCAGCAGCCGCCGCAGUAA
rnacentral:rRNA from 1 species